UCUUAUCUGAUCAAUUACUUGUUCAAUACAAUAUAUCGGUGGAACAAAGUUCAAUUAAAACAAAGGUGAGGCGAGACAUUUGCCGGUCAACCUGCGCGUCCAUCGCGGUGUUUUCCGCACACAGAGAACGGUGACUGGAAAAAAAUCUGGCACCCGGAGCAAAUAGGAUCAUCAUGGCAGACAACGUGCAUAUUGGGGAAACCGAAAUAAAGCCUCGCAGCUAUCAGCUGCGUCUCGUGGAUCAUAUUAUGAAGAACAAUGGGAUAAUCUACUUGCCGACCGGAUCUGGCAAGACAUCC